rnacentral:rRNA from 1 species
UGGGGAAUAUUGCACAAUGGAGGGAACUCUGAUGCAGCGACGCCGCGUGAGUGAUGAAGGAAUUCGUUUCGUAAAACUCUGUUCUAUGGGAAGAAAAGGACUGUACCAUAGGAGAAAGCUCCGGCUAAAUACGUGCCAGCAGCCGCGGUAAUACGUAUGGAGCGAGCGUUGUCCGGAAUUAUUGGGCGUAAAGGGUGCGCAGGCGGCUUUACAAGUUGGAUGUGAAAUAUUGUGGCUCAACCACAAACGUGCAUCCAAAACUGCAAAGCUUGAGUUAAGGAGAGGUAAGUGGAAUUCCAGGUGUAGCGGUGGAAUGCGCAGAUAUCUGGAGGAACACCGAUGGCGAAGGCAGGUCACUGGGCCAUUACUGACGCUGAGGAGCGAAAGCAUGGGUAGCGAACAGG